GCUUUUCCCCCUCAACCCAAGAAAAGAAACAAACUCAACAGAACAAUAUGUUUUGUUUUUGAAAUUGUUUGUAAAAUCUUUAGCAGCAAAGAUCUAUUGAUUUCAAAACGAGUUAAAAUGGAAUCAUGGAAUAGCAAUCUGCAAAUGCUGUCUUCAACAUUAAUCUCCACGCGGUAUUUCACUAAUCUAUAGAGGGACAAACACAUAGAUUUUCCAAAUGCUUGGAUGGGGUAAACUAGAAGAAUGCACCAUUAGGGUUUCCAAAUUUGAAGGAAUUUUGGAUUUUGCAUUUCAGUCCUCGAUUUUAGCUUUCCUUUUUCCAAAGAUUUCCUACAACUAAAUAGACCUUUAAAAGCAAAUAAAUUACAUAAAACAAUGGCCAAUCGUACAAGUACAA
rnacentral:lncRNA from 1 species